rnacentral:rRNA from 1 species
GGAAUAUUGCACAAUGGGGGAAACCCUGAUGCAGCGACGCCGCGUGAGUGAUGAAGUAUUUCGGUAUGUAAAGCUCUAUCAGCAGGGAAGAAAAUGACGGUACCUGACUAAGAAGCCCCAGCUAACUACGUGCCAGCAGCCGCGGUAAUACGUAGGGGGCAAGCGUUAUCCGGAUUUACUGGGUGUAAAGGGAGCGUAGGCGGCAUGGCAAGUCAGAAGUGAAAGCCUGGGGCUCAACCCUGGAAUUGCUUUUGAAACUGUCAAGCUAGAGUGUCGGAGGGGUAAGUGGAAUUCCUAGUGUAGCGGUGAAAUGCGUAGAUAUUAGGAGGAACACCAGUGGCGAAGGCGGCUUACUGGACGACUACUGACGCUGAGGCGCGAAAGUCGGGGGAGCAAACA